rnacentral:lncRNA from 1 species
AGAGCAAGCAAUAGAAUAGAAGCAGGAAGAAUUUUCGAGUGUUCCACCAUGCUGGAUUGUCAAAGGGGGAUCUGUCUGAUCAGCAGCUAAAAAAGGAUUUGUGUGGCUAGUUUGUCAGCUAUCGUUAGAAACAAAUGAUAGAGGAGAUAAGCGGCGGGGUGCUCAGCAUGUGCUUAGGUUUACAUCAAGAUGUAAUGUUGGUUUGGGUUAACAGAGGAGAUUUAUCUCUGAGGCAAUAAAUUUAUUGCUAAUUGUGGGGGUUUUUGUUUUGAUGAGUGAUGUAUGGUAUUUGUAUUUACAUCACUGGUGAAGAUAAAGAGAAGCUGCUGAGCUCUAAUAUGAACUGCAGAAGCUGUGGACAGUUACAAGUUGCUGAUAUGUGUUCAAGAUGAGUGGGAUGGGAGAAAAUACCUCUGACCCCUCCAGGGCAGAGACAAG